rnacentral:rRNA from 1 species
AGAUUGAACGCUGGCGGCAUGCUUUACACAUGCAAGUCGAACGGUAACAGGCCGCAAGGUGCUGACGAGUGGCGAACGGGUGAGUAAUGUAUCGGAACGUGCCCAGUCGUGGGGGAUAACGCAGCGAAAGCUGCGCUAAUACCGCAUACGAUCUAUGGAUGAAAGCGGGGGACCGUAAGGCCUCGCGCGAUUGGAGCGGCCGAUAUCAGAUUAGGUAGUUGGUGGGGUAAAGGCUCACCAAGCCAACGAUCUGUAGCUGGUCUGAGAGGACGACCAGCCACACUGGGACUGAGACACGGCCCAGACUCCUACGGGAGCAGCAGUGGGGAAUUUUGGACAAGUGGGCGCAAGCCUGAUCCAGCAAU